GGGCAGGUACCCAAGUGGCCAACGGGGGCAGACUGUAAAUCUGCUGGCUUAUGUCUUCCAAGGUUCGAAUCCUUGCCUGCCCACCA
rnacentral:tRNA from 3 species